UACGGAGGAUGCAAGCGUUAUCCGGAAUGAUUGGGCGUAAAGCGUCCGCAGGUGGCAGUGUAAGUCUGCUGUCAAAGCGUCUGGCUCAACCAGAUAAAGGCAGUGAAAACUACAUAGCUAGAGUAAGGUAGGGGUAGAGGGAAUUCCUGGUGUAGCGGUGAAAUGCGCAGAUAUCAGGAGGAACACCUGCGGCGAAGGCGGGUUGCUGGGCUGAUACUGACGCUGAGGCGCGAAAGCUAGGGGAGCAAACGGG
rnacentral:rRNA from 1 species